UGCAUUAUGUUAAGGAUAGAGGGGAUAGAGUCCCUCGAAGGUGCUAAAGGCUCUGCUUCACAACUAGUAUUCCGUUAAGCCCAUGUCCUGCAGACAAGCAUGUGCCACCGAAUAUCCAAGCUUGGAUAUACGGGCUAGCUCCCAACCGCUUGGGGGAUGGUAGCACAAUACCAAACUGGAGAGGG
rnacentral:ribozyme from 1 species